AUGUUCGGUUACACCCGAACUUAGCCAUUCCUUACUUGUUUUUUUUUUAUUACAGAUAAGAUAAUUACGAAUGCACGCUGUUUUGGCUCAACUGUAAGGAAAAUGUGUUUCCAUUUGCUGUUUUGUUCGGAGUAGAUUAUAUCUACAUAUAUGACAAGUUCCCCUGAUGAACUUAAUAAAGAAAAUAGCUGUGCAUCCAGUUCAUUGCUGAACUUUUUAGUAAAUCACGAAAGCAAUACGAACCAACCAGUAUUACAGAACGAGAUAAAAUUCAAUUUUGCGGUAUUCAUGAAAUGCUUAAAAAAAUAUAAUCGGAAAGUAAGAGACAAACAACGUUUUUUAGUGUGGAAAAUUUAUUUUUUCUUACAUAUAUUAUUUAUAAGUAUAUGUAAAUACUUAAAUACAAGCAUCUUUUUAAAAAAAAACUAGAAAGCAAACCAUACCGACAGCGGCAAAUCCUCUGCAUCAGUAUUGAAUGCAUUCUCUGCUGCUCCAUCUGCCGCCAGCUCCAAUCUCACCACUGCCGAUGUUGCUGGUACAGAUACUUCUCCGUCCAAUGCUGCUGUGUCUGUUUGCUGAUAAUGUGAGUAUGGAUUAUCUCGCUCCCGCUGCUUUACUUGCAGUCGCUACCAACGCUGUUAAAGUUUGACAAUACAUAUGCUAAGGAUGUUAGGAAUGUCAACCUUCACUCGCAUGCCAGGACCAAAAACAAUCCAACUGCUGCUUUUAAACCUGAUCGCAUCAAAAAUUUGUGCAUUGGCACAACAACAAAACACAUGCACAUAAAAUGAAAUGGCUGCAAAAUCUGCUACCCCAAAACUUUUAUUAAUUUUCAUAGAAAAAUACUUGCAUAUGUUAAUAAAGGAUUUUUGCAUUUCAUGCUAUUUAGAAUAUUGUAAACCAUCAAUUUAAAGCUGAUUCGUAAAGAAGAAAAUUGUUUGUCAAUAAAAUUAUCAAACAAUAAAGAAAAGGUUUUAAGGAAAAUUAUUCUCCCGGGCCUGGAGUUCUCAAAGCUUUUAAUAGAUUGGCACGAAAAAACUGACAGAAUCGAUGCCGACAAGUUAUUUGCGAAAAAUCUUUUAGGGAUAAAUUCUUGAAAGAAGUUAAAAAACUCAACCUUACCGCAGAAACUCGUCAAGACGUUGAUGGAAUUUUGAAAUAUAUGAGCAAGUUUGAGUGCGUUUUGAGAAACUUGGUUCUUCAAGAGGUCAAUGACACCAUCAACGCUGAAGUUAGAAAUAUAGAAUAUCUUCUUGUGGAUUUGCAAUUUCUGCGCGACCAGUGACAGUUUUUAAUGAACGCAAAUUGUUGAAGAUAAUUUAGAGCAUGUUGAGACGAUUUUACAAUGAAUAAGAAAAAAAACAUGGAUGAAGAAGUAGAUGGAAAUUGAAUUCAAAAGAAGUCAUCAUCUAUGGCAGUUCCAUGAUAUGAAAGAAGAUGAAUUCAAAGCGGCGCAAAAAAUUUUGCAAAAAAGUAUUUCGUUGUUGUAUCUGAUAAAUUGUCAAAUGAAGCUAUUCAUUCAGACACGUAAACUAUGCAAAUUUUGAAACUUCAUACAACUUAUUAAAUGCCAUCAAUUUUUAAGAUUAA